UAUAUUUUAUCCCUAGUGGGGUUUAUUUUGAUUUGGUUUGUUGUUUUUUUUUUUUUUUUUCAGGGAAUCAGAGACUGCUUUGGGUGGAAGGGACCUUUGAGAUCAUCUUGUCCCAACCCCCUGCCAUGGGCAGGGACACCUUCCACUAUCCCAGGUUGCUCAGAGCUCCCCCCCAACCUGACCUGGAACACUUCCAUGGAUGGGAAGGAAUUUUCUUUCAUCCUUCUUCCUUUAGGAGCACAUGGCCUUGCCUAAACUCUGUUCAGAUGAGCUCCAGGACUCUUUGGGGAUUUUACUCAAGGGAAUUCCUGCUGUUGGAAGGAGAUGGAGCAAAAGCGGUUCAGGCUCUGUCGGGAAUUUUGGUCCAGAACUUGUCCCAGAUGAUUUGUGUUGCUUUUCCUGCAGUCCUUUUAAAGCUGGAGCUCGGAAUGUCCCCCCUAAAUCAUCAGUGUGAGCCAGAAACGUUUUGGCAUUGGAGGUGGGAGCCAGUUCUGUGCUUUUCAGGCUCUGGAAGGUGUUAAUUAAAGCGGGUAUUAAUUAAAGGUGAAUGAUCCAAGACCUAGAGAAAUGGGGGAUGAUCACAGAAUCACAAAAUGAGUGAGGCUGGGAAGGACCACUGGAGGUCAUUUGGUCCAUGAUGGUGUCAUUUUGCCUCAUUUAUGGAUAUAUUUAUUUAAAAUGAGCAGGAUUUUAUUUCCCAUCUCAGUUUUUGGGUUCACUAAAUUAACAGACAAUCAACACAGUGCAUAAAUCCCCUGUGCCUUCCCAGAGAGAUGUAAAAUCACUGACUUUAGGGCAAAUAUGUGUCUUCUCAGAUGGCAAAGAAACCCCUGAGCUGUUCCUCAUCCCUGUUCAUGCAGAGGAGCUGACGGAGCUGGAAAAUCAAUUUGCUUUUGGUUCCGAUUGAGAGACCAUAUAGAUUUGGGAUGCUGGGAAUGUGGAUGAUGAUGGGGAAGAGUGGGAAGGUGCUGCAGGUUGUUGCCCAC
rnacentral:lncRNA from 1 species